CGUAGGGGCAAGCGUUGUCCGGAAUUAUUGGGCGUAAAGCGCGCGCAGGCGGUUCCUUAAGUCUGAUGUGAAAGCCCCCGGCUCAACCGGGGAAGGUCAUUGGAAACUGGGGAACUUGAGUGCAGAAGAGAAGAGCGGAAUUCCACGUGUAGCGGUGAAAUGCGUAGAGAUGUGGAGGAACACCAGUGGCGAAGGCGGCUCUUUGGUCUGUAACUGACGCUGAGGCGCGAAAGCGUGGGGAGCAAACAGGAUUAGAUACCCUGGUAGUCCACGCCGUAAACGAUGAGUGCUAAGUGUUAGAGGGUUUCCGCCCUUUAGUGCUGCAGCUAACGCAUUAAGCACUCCGCCUGGGGAGUACGGCCGCAAGGCUG
rnacentral:rRNA from 1 species